UGGGGAAUUUGGACAAUGGGCGAAAGCCUGAUCCAGCAAUGCCGCGUGUGUGAAGAAGGCCUUCGGGUUGUAAAGCACUUUUGUCCGGAAAGAAAUCCUUGGCUCUAAUACAGUCGGGGGAUGACGGUACCGGAAGAAUAAGCACCGGCUAACUACGUGCCAGCAGCCGCGGUAAUACGUAGGGUGCAAGCGUUAAUCGGAAUUACUGGGCGUAAAGCGUGCGCAGGCGGUUUGCUAAGACCGAUGUGAAAUCCCCGGGCUCAACCUGGGAACUGCAUUGGUGACUGGCAGGCUAGAGUAUGGCAGAGGGGGGUAGAAUUCCACGUGUAGCAGUGAAAUGCGUAGAGAUGUGGAGGAAUACCGAUGGCGAAGGCAGCCCCCUGGGCCAAUACUGACGCUCAUGCACGAAAGCGUGGGGAGCAAACAGGAUUAGAUACCCUGGUAGUCCACGCCCUAAACGAUGUCAACUAGUUGUUGGGGAUUCAUUUCCUUAGUAACGUAGCUAACGCGUGAAGUUGACCGCCUGGGGGAGUACGGUCGCAAGAUUAAAACUCAAAGGAAUUGACGGGGUCAUAGCUGUUUCCU
rnacentral:rRNA from 1 species